rnacentral:snRNA from 1 species
AGACUCCCUCAGCAGCACAUAUACUAAAAUUGGAAAGAUGCAAAGAAGAUGAGCCCAGUGCCUGAACAAGGAGGAUGUCCAAAUGCCCAAGUAUUUCAUAUUUUU